GAUGAACGCUGGCGGCGUGCCUAAUACAUGCAAGUCGAGCGAACGGACGAGAAGCUUGCUUCUCUGAUGUUAGCGGCGGACGGGCGAGUAACACGUGGAUAACCUACCUAUAGGACUGGGAUAACUUCGGGAAACCGGAGCUAAUACCGGAUAAUAUUUUGAACCGCAUGGUUCAAAAGUGAAAGACGGUCUUGCUGUCACUUAUAGAUGGAUCCGCGCUGCAUUAGCUAGUUGGUAAGGUAACGGCUUACCAAGGCAACGAUGCAUAGCCGACCUGAGAGGGUGAUCGGCCACACUGGAACUGAGACACGGUCCAGACUCCUACGGGAGGCAGCAGUAGGGAAUCUUCCGCAAUGGGCGAAAGCCUGACGGAGCAACGCCGCGUGAGUGAUGAAGGUCUUCGGAUCGUAAAACUCUGUUAUUAGGGAAGAACAUAUGUGUAAGUAACUGUGCACAUCUUGACGGUACCUAAUCAGAAAGCCACGGCUAACUACGUG
rnacentral:rRNA from 1 species